UACGGAGGGGACUAGCGUUGUUCGGAAUUACUGGGCGUAAAGCGCACGUAGGCGGAUUUGUAAGUCAGGGGGUGAAAUCCCGAGGCUCAACCUCGGAACUGCCUUUGAUACUGCAAAUCUCGAGUCCGGAAGAGGUGAGUGGAAUUCCUAGUGUAGAGGUGAAAUUCGUAGAUAUUAGGAAGAACACCAGUGGCGAAGGCGGCUCACUGGUCCGGUACUGACGCUGAGGUGCGAAAGCGUGGGGGAGCAAACAGG
rnacentral:rRNA from 1 species